UACGUAGGGUGCAAGCGUUAAUCGGAAUUACUGGGCGUAAAGCGUGCGCAGGCGGUGAUGUAAGACAGAUGUGAAAUCCCCGGGCUCAACCUGGGAACUGCAUUUGUGACUGCAUCGCUGGAGUGCGGCAGAGGGGGAUGGAAUUCCGCGUGUAACAGUGAAAUGCGUAGAUAUGCGGAGGAACACCGAUGGCGAAGGCAAUCCCCUGGGCCUGCACUGACGCUCAUGCACGAAAGCGUGGGGAGCAAACAGG
rnacentral:rRNA from 1 species